rnacentral:rRNA from 1 species
AUUGAACGCUGGCGGCAUGCCUUACACAUGCAAGUCGAACGGCAGCACGGGUGCUUGCACCUGGUGGCGAGUGGCGAACGGGUGAGUAAUACAUCGGAACGUACCUUAUCGUGGGGGAUAACGCAGCGAAAGCUGUGCUAAUACCGCAUACGCCCUGAGGGGGAAAGCGGGGGAUCGAAAGACCUCGCGCGAUUAGAGCGGCCGAUGCCUGAUUAGCUUGUUGGUGGGGUAAAAGCCCACCAAGGCGACGAUCAGGAGCUGGUCUGAGAGGACGAUCAGCCACACUGGGCCUGAGACACGGCCCAGACUCCUACGGGAGGAAGCAGUGGGGAAUUUUGGACAAUGGGGGCAACCCUGAUCCAGCAAUGCCGCGUGAGUGAAGAAGGCCUUCGGGUUGUAAAGCUCUUUUGUCAGGGAAGAAACACCGGCUCUAACACAGUCCGGGAAUGACGGUACCUGAAGAAUAAGCACCGGCUAACUACGUGCCAGCCGCCGCGGUAA